rnacentral:tRNA from 1 species
GGUGAAGCGUGAUAAGCAGCGGCUCAUAACCGCUUGGUUGGGGGUUCGAGUCCCUCCGGGCCCACCA